AUCAAAUUUCAUUAAAAUCUUGUAAAGACCUCCUUAAUCCACUACCGGCUCUAUCCUUUUAGAAUAAAAUUGUUAGCGAUAGAAGUAGAACACACAUGAUUGGGGAGUCCCCAUGGCUGCUCGCAUUAGGCUGAAUCACAAUUAUUAUAAUGUCCCAUGUGCAAGUGAUUAUGUUUAGUAUAAAAACGGCGGCUCCAUGGUGCCAGGCAGUGUGGUGUGACGUGUCUAUACCAUGAAGUUGCUUGCUCUGAUCGUGGCUAUCUUUGCCAUUGCUUUUGCGUUUGUGGGUGCAAUGAGCACUGGUGCGCUAGCUGAAGACGGGGGCCCCCGGGCCGGCUGCAACGGGGGCCGGGGGCCGCCGGGGCCGCCGCCCGGGGCUGGGGGACCGCCGCCUGCUGCCAAUUCCACCUCCAGUUAAAAAGUUCCUACAAACGACGACACGGCAAAUAGUUUAGUAUGCACUUCUAGUGACAAAUAUUCAAUAUUUGUUAGUUAAUACACAAAUUGCA